GAUGAACGCUGGCGGCGUGCCUAAUACAUGCAAGUCGAGAGAACGGACGAGAAGCUUGCUUCUCUGAUGUUAGCGGCGGACGGGUGAGUAACACGUGGAUAACCUACCUAUAAGACUGGGAUAACUUCGGGAAACCGGAGCUAAUACCGGAUAAUAUUUUGAACCGCAUGGUUCAAAAGUGAAAGACGGUCUUGCUGUCACUUAUAGAUGGAUCCGCGCUGCAUUAGCUAGUUGGUAAGGUAACGGCUUACCAAGGCAACGAUGCAUAGCCGACCUGAGAGGGUGAUCGGCCACACUGGAACUGAGACACGGUCCAGACUCCUACGGGAGGCAGCAGUAGGGAAUCUUCCGCAAUGGGCGAAAGCCUGACGGAGCAACGCCGCGUGAGUGAUGAAGGUCUUCGGAUCGUAAAACUCUGUUAUUAGGGAAGAACAUAUGUGUAAGUAACUGUGCACAUCUUGACGGUACCUAAUCAGAAAGCCACGGCUAACUACGUG
rnacentral:rRNA from 1 species